rnacentral:lncRNA from 1 species
AAAUCAAGAUUCACUUGCAUGUUCACUCAUACAUGCUGCUUCUACUCCGGAAGUACGCAUCCACAUACAUCCACUCAUUUCCAUCUCCAGAUUUACCCAAAAGUAUUCUACUCCUAAUCCGGGAGAGAAUAGCCAAAAACAUUAUCCUAUCCCUCUUAUUCCCUGUGGAAUAAAUGCUCGAGAUAUUUUGGUUACUACCACUUGCUAUAUUAUUUGAGAUGAGUGCUCUAAAAAAAGAGAAAGAGAAAGGAUACGAGUAAAUAAAAAGUGCCUGGAACCUCGAAGAAAAGAAAAAGUGAGACGAGAGGUAAAAAUGGACAAGUGUCUGAUAGUAGAAUUAGGGGUACAAGAUACCCACCUGAGAGAAAAAGAAAAAGAAAAUAUAGAGCAUCUCAUUCUCCUCAAAAAGCUUCAAAGUGCAAGAAAGGUAUGUAUCCCCUUAAAAGAGCAAAAGUAGAAUUAGACUUUCACCAUUGUUAUCACCAUACACCAUUCACUCGCCACACAUGCACAUCUUGAUUUGACUUAUUGACUUGUUCUUCUAGAUCCAUGGUUUGACUAUGCAAUAAAUGUCUUGUAAGUAUGUAUUAUCUGUCUCCCACCUAUGAGCUCCAGAUAUCAAAACCUUAUUAGAGUAGGGUGAGAGAGAAGGCAAUAUCACUAUGCCUCAUACCAAAAACACCACAUACUUUGAGAGA